UACAGAGGGUGCAAGCGUUGUUCGGAAUUAUUGGGCGUAAAGGGCGCGUAGGCGGUUCGUACAGUCAGACGUGAAAUUCCUGGGCUCAACCUGGGGGCUGCGUUUGAUACGUGCGGACUUGAGUGCGGAAGAGGGUCGUGGAAUUCCCAGUGUAGAGGUGAAAUUCGUAGAUAUUGGGAAGAACACCGGUGGCGAAGGCGGCGACCUGGUCCGAUACUGACGCUGAGGCGCGAAAGCGUGGGGAGCAAACAGG
rnacentral:rRNA from 1 species